CCAUCUGUUCAGAGAGGAGGAUGCCUGUGAUCUGCAGACUUCGCCUUUCAAAACUUAGUUUCAGAGGGAAGAUCUAAGGAGAAUUAAUGGUAAAAAAAAAAAAAGGCGUGUAAGGGAUCAUAUUAAUCAGUUUGCAGUCACUCAAACUUCAAAAAAAUUUCCUUUGAAAACAACUAAUUUGCACAGCCUCUCGGCCUGUAAUGAUUCUCUAUGAGUUAUCGGCACGGAUUUCACAUCAGAAGCUGUAUGCUGCAAAAUAGAAGACCUUUAAACCUCUGUUCAGUUGGCUCUCGCGCACAGAGACUAAUUUUCCUCUCCCUUUACCUCCAUCCUGCCUCUUUGAAGAAAUUGUUGCAAGGAGGGAUUUUCUGCAUGACCUGUUUCAGGGUCACUUUAUGAAGACAACUUUCCCCAAAGCCCUUCCCCAGCACUAUUUCAGGAACACUUCUUUCCCAGCCAGUGUGUUGUCAAGGUCACGUGCCUGACUCUUGUGCAGCUGCAACCAGUUCUCCCGGAUUCGCCCAAGGUGGGAGCAAGUCUUUACAGGAACACAGAGCACAGGGCCAGGGAGGGGACAGCAGGGUACUGCCUGGCCUUGAGCCGGUGUGGCGGGGGCAUUGAAGGAGACAGCUCCCAAGACACGGUAACUGGCAUUCUGGUUCAUGCCCUUGGACCUACUGUCAGGACCGGGUGUGCGGAAGGGGUUUUAGAUACACAGACCAUUUGUUCUAAUUUAAUUCCUAUUUUAAACAUUUCAGUUGACCUAAAGGGACUCUUAAAAGUUGAUUUGGUGAAACUUGGCUUGCCCGAAACUGUAGAAGAAUCUUAACAGGAUCAUCAUUCCAUGGCCUCAAGAUGCUGACUCACUGAGAUUAUGACCAGAUUAAAAACAGCAAAAACAAAAACCAAGGAGGACUAAGUCUUUUGUGCCAUAUUUAAUCUUUGCAAAGGGGGGAAAAUGCCUUCAAAUCAUGAUAUUCAAAAGCAUGGCCUGGUUGACACAGUUUGCAUCAGGGGAAAACAACGUGGGUUGUACGAGUCUGGGAUGUAUUAUGGUGAAGGCCUUUCGGAGCAAGGCCCCCCGGACUCCACGAGGGUCUGCACUGGUUCUGGGGUUCCGGGCUCCGGAAAUGAUGAAGAGCAGCUUCUGAUUUCACAACUGGAUCUUUGCUUCCCCUCCCUUCCCGUUCAUAUCCUAUAUCGCAAGUUUAUUUAUAAAAUACCUCACAGUGGAGUAAUUCAAAGAUUGGUGGAUCUCAAGUGGCUAAGCUGGAACUGGUUAUCAGAGGAAAAACACAUACAGAUGUUCAUCUGCUGGACUCGCCCUGUUUCAUCCACCUGUUUGAUCUCAGGGGAGCUGCAACGCCAUUUAUUUCAGCCAGUAGGGGACAGAUCCUAAAGAUACUGAAACUGUUUUCUAUUGAGGAUAAACUCUGCACCGUGUUAUGGAUCCUCACCGUUUCUUCUUGAUAGUUGAGAAAACGAGGCCCGGAGUUGAGAAGUGAUUGUCAGGAGGUUACUCAGCUAGCUAAGAAUUUUAGCCAGAACAAAGAGCCCUAUCUUAUAUUCCUCCACUGACCCCUUCUUCCUCCCCUACCGACUUCCUUCUUGAGCUAUACUUGCUGAUGCUUCCAAAGUAGAAAUCCUUGCAACACCAUCUCUUCACUGCAUUUCCUCAUUGCUCAAGAUUUUUACAGAUUCAAGAUGUUCUUUGAAAAGAGAACUUUCCUGAAGUAAGCAAGAAUUCCAGUAAUGCCCCAAGGCAGACUUUUUUUUUUUCUUCCUUUUUGGCUUCAGCUUACCCCUGACUCAUGUCUCUUGAUAACUGAGUUCUUCUAUAACAAGAACUUUAAUGAUUUUCGUCACUGGCUCUUCAACCGUUCUUUGGCCUGAUUUGUUCUGUUUUCUUGGGUGGUUGGCCAUGAAACUGGAACCUUGAGAAGGAGGAGGCAAGCUCUGCCGUUCACACUCUUCUCAGCCAGAGCUGAUGGUGGCCCACGGAUGUUGUAGCUUAAGAUGGUUUUCUUGGAUAGUACCUUAUGUAGAAUUUGUAGCAAUUUUAGAAUUUCUGAGCAAACCAUUGAAAAUGAUUUCCUCCCUUUGUGGCUUUCAAGAGCUGGUCUCAGCAGUAAGGUGACAGACUCCAUUGACAACUCAGUAGCCUUUGGAAAGGAAUGCUCUGGAUGAUGACAGGUGCUUCCAGGGGUUUUCUGCACCUGACCUUAAAGGAAACAGUGGGAGCCCUAAUCCAACGUGACUGGUGUCCUUGUCAGGGGAGAAGGACACACACCAGGGGAAGGUCCCGUGAAGACACAGAAAGAACAUGAACCACCUGUGAGCCCACAAGAGAGGCCUCACAAGAAGACAGAUGCCUUGAUGCUGGGCUUCCAGUCUCCAGAAGUGUGGCAAAACAGCUGUGGCCUUGGAGGUUUGCUGUGACCACUAACAGGAGAAGAAAGACCCGGGCCUGGUUCCUGGACAGUGGGCUCCAUAUCACGGUGCUAGAAGAGAAUGGAGUUCAGCCACACUGCGGCCUCACUCAGGGGCAGCAUGGGAGCUCGAUCAGCCACUUUGGAUGGAGUGGACACGUUCCAGGUGCAGGCUGGUGUGUGCUUCCAAGGGAACUUUCAAGUAAUGAACAGAUAUUUUUAGCCAUUGGAGAGAAAUCUUCCCGCAAGAAGAAGGACCUCAGAUACCCCCGAUGAUGUCAAUACUCCACAUGGCUCCUCCUUCUCCGGCUCACUCCAGGGAAAAACGCUGUGCCUCCAGCUUGUCCCUGGAAGGGCUUGAACUACACAUCUGGCACCAUGACUGUUCCAGCUCUUGUCUGACUUCCAACCCGCCAAUCUCUGAGGCUGACAUGCAGGCAAUUGCUUCUCCCCAGGAUCUACUGUGAAUAAAGGGGCAAGUUUUGAAUGGCCCAGCUCUUCCUUCUGGUUCCCCCCAGCUGUUCACUGAGUUAGUUUUCCUGGUCCUACAAAGGAGCCUGGCACCGUCAGGUAUAUGGCAUCCCCUGCCCCGACUGGGAGCCUGGGACGAGUUCCCCAGAGCUGUGUGCAAAGCAGGUGUGUGAGGUGUGCAAGGGGUGUGUGUGUGAGACAGACUCAGACCCAUGCCUUCCUAACGAGGAACUGCCGUCCACAAGUGGGGCUGUGUCUUCUGUCUCGCCCUUCCCCACUGUCUUUGCCAGGCCACCGUCCCCCUCUAGUUCAGAGGCCUAAUUCUCGUGCUCAGAACCCUAGUUUUGAAUCCAAAGCUCCCUUUACUGUUCUUUGCAGCUUUCUACUAAAUGUGGCAUUCAUGGAAAUCUUUCCUCUAACCCAAGGGGACAUUGCAGACCAGACCCCUAUCAUGACAUUUGUCACUCUUCCAAUAGCUACAAAGGUAAAGCAAUCUCAUUAUAUACAUUAUCUUGGAUACAGAAAAUGCUGAGAACCUCACUGGAAUAGGUCUUGCCCAGAUCGGAACAGGGCUGUGAAUUUAUUGCAGACACAUUUCCAGUGGCUUCCCUGCCAUGUUUUACCUUCGCCAAGUUUUAUUCUUACAUUAGUUAGUCAGGAAAUGACUGUUUCCAAGAAACUCUGACAACAUCCUGAGAAAGAAUGACUGAGUCAGAGUUUUGCAUAAUCAGGAAUCCUGAGGAAUGUGGAAGCCCAUGGACAGGAUGCAGCAAAAACACAAUUUGCUAAGUGGCUGUGCCUGGGUUUGAGGAAAGUACAACUUUCAAAAUGCUUCUCAUAAUUUGAAAAUAGGAUGGGAAAGAUAGGCUUUUGACUUUGGACUACAAAUAGCUUUCUUUCAAGGAUCACUGUGGCUGGUGGUCAUCGGGACCUCUUCCCUUUGGUGGGGUCCCAACCCCAACUUAGGCACAUUUGACCACUAGUGUCCAAGGAACAACAGAUAAGUGCCAUUCUGGAUUAAUUUUUGAUGCAUCUGUCCAAAGUAAAAAAUUAACCUGAAGCUGCUUCCCAGUGUUGCCAAAUUUGCUGCUUUUAGGAGAUUUGACAUAGCUACUUGAACGAGGAGGGAUUCUUAGAAGUUCUUCAACCUUUAGGCAGAAUGCUUUGAGUGUUUAAUGACAACCUCUAGAAAAUUCUGAGGGCCAAAGCUGAUGGCAAAUGUGGCCUGAGCUCGUUUCUCAAACUCUUCCCUGACUACAUGGGUAGCCAUCUGGAACAAGUGUGGGAACACAGAAGAAAUCCUUGGCCUUAUAGAGCCCACCCUUGGCUUUCCUGCUCCAACACGCCUCCCUGUACAGAUGGAGAUUAUUUCAUUAGAGCAAAAUGCCAGAAUAGUAACAUUCUUUUUCUUUCCCAUGUUCUGUGAUACGAUCUUUUAUCUCUUUGCUGAAUUAAACCUUCAGUUCUGAGUGUGUCUUUGGAAAGCCUGCUCUCCUAGUAGGCUCUCACAUGUUCAAAGGUAGGUAAGUAGGUGAGGAAGGAGGAGUUGUACAGGGUGAGGGCCCAGCUGAUGUGCAUAAUCUCCCAAAGACCUAGGAGACCUCAGGCAUGUUAGAAGGUCUAAGGAAACCUUUUUGUUCUUUGGCCAGCAUCAAUCAAAUUAUAGUUGGAGUGAUUUUCCAGCAUCUUGCACAAACUGGGAGCUAAUUUUGAAACAUUUCCAUCUUUUAAUUUCUUCUUGCCCACCUCCUGUCCCAAAGGGGUAAAAAUGCUGGCAUGGUCAGAGACUAAGAGCAAGCUGAAGGCUAGGGCUGCAGAUAUGGGGCAGAGACCAAGUAAGGGAAGGGGAAGCUGCAGGAGAAAGCCAGUCAGGAGUGCACAGCCAACAGGGCUGCAGACUGUAGCCAUGGGGAGGGACAGAAAUCAAGUCCAAGUGGCAUCAGAGGAGAUUCGGUUUAGUGGGAGGCAGUGAGCAGUGUGGUGGCUGAGCCUGGCAGUAGGGUCAGAGCAAUGCUUCUGGGGUAGAGGAAAAUCUUCCUGAAGUGUGGAAGUCCCUUGUUACAGUGGGUCCGGUCAGGGCAUUCCUUGAAUUAAGGGAAAAGAAUAAAUGGAACUCACAAGAUGAGGACGUGGGAAUGAGUCCGAAAAUCAGACUCCAGCCUACUGACUAGGGUUUCAGAGACACAUAAACAGACCAUGUGCGUGGAGGACAAAGGGGCCCCCAAGUGACUUCCAUGUACGACACAGUUCAGGGAUGCAGAGCCAUUGUUCUCAGCUGUGGUCAGGUCCAAAGUCUGCUGGCUGGUGGGUACAGGGCUUGUGCUGUCCCCUGAGAUGCUGUGGGGUUGGGGAGAGACUGUGCAGAGUUGAUGGUAAACAUGACCUGUAGAGGAGCUGGUGUGGACCCAGGAGCUGAGCUUCACACAUCCACUUCUUGCCUUCUAGAAACCUGCCCUAGUAACAGUAGCUGUGCACCCUUUGUGCCGCUCCUCUGCCCGAGGUGGACAGUGCUCAUUGGUCACAGCAGCACAGCAGAGUGGUUAAGGGCAUGUGUUCUGGAGUUAGGCCUGUGUCUUCAACAGCUUCUCCUCUAACAAUACAUGGGUAAGUUACCUCAUAAAACGAAGAGUCCUCAUCUGCAAAUAUUACCCAUCUCAAAAGUUUUUAGGAAGAGUGAAUGAAAUAAUUGUAUAAAAUAUUUAGCACAGGACCUGGCCCAUUAUUUGCUCUUAAUAAACAGAAUCCCUGACAAUGAAAUAUUUAUGAAAUUAUGUGUGAAGUCAUUAAUAAUAAAAUCAUUACUAACAUUCUUCGUAUUUCCUACUGCUGAGUGAAGAAUUGGCUUUACCCAAAGGGAUGUCUGGCCUUUGUCCCUGGCUCCUGGGAGGUAACCUCUAAAUCCGUGGAAUUAUCCCAGGGAUUGGCACCUCUUCGUGAUUUGUGGUGGGCUGCUUGACCAGAUCUGAUAGCUCAUGCUAAGAUGACUCAGGGUGAGGAGCUGGCCAAACCAGAAAGAUCAACCAUGUGAUGUGAGGGGUGGCACUUUGGACAGCCACAUGGGACAUGGUUCAAUCAGUCAUGCCUGUGUAAUGAAACCCCAACACAGACUAUGGACACCCGAGGUGUUAAUGCUCUGUCUGCAUAUUUCCGUAGAUAGACACUGAGAAGGUGUCCCGGAGGGCAUGGAACCUUCCUAUUCCCUGAUUCCACCCUAUGUGUCUUAGUCCAUUUGGGCUGCUGUGACAAAACUACCACAAACUGGGUGGCUCGUAACAACAUAAAUUCAUUUCUCACAGUUCUGGAGGCUGGGAAAUCCAAGAUCAUGACUCUGGCAGAUAUGGUAUGUAGGGAGAGCUUCUGGACCAUGGAUGUUCCACAUGUCCUUACAUGGUGGAAAGGGUGAGGGAACUCUCUGGGGCCUCUUUAUAAAAGCACUAAUCCCAUUCAUGAGAGUGCCACCCUCAUGAUCUUAUCACCUCCCCAAAGCCCUCCUCCUAAUAUCGUCUCACUAGGGGUUAAGUGUUAUACGAAUUUGGGAGACACAGACAUUCAGUCUAUAGUAGUGUCUCUUCCUUUGGCAGGCACUGAUUGUUAUCCCUUUGCUAUAGAAAGCCCCUGUGAUUGUAGCAUGGUGUUUUUCCUGAGUUCUGUGAGUCAUUCUAGCAAAUUUUCAAAUCUGAGAGAGUCCAUGGGCAUCCGUGAAUUUGUAGCUAGGUGAUCUGAAGGGAGGGUGUCCAUGGACAUCUGAGUACCGGUGGCUGGUGUCAGAAGUCUUGGACAGACCUGGCAGCCUGGAGCACAAUGCUCCUAACCUGGACUUUCAUUCCAGGUACGUGCUGGUCUCACAGCCUCAGAGUCCUGCUUAACACAAGGCUCUGGGCAGCCGUUACAUCAUUUGAAUUGCAUUUGAGAAGUCUGUUUGCAGUCCUUGUCCUCUUCUAACAUUCCUGUGCUUAAAGUCCUUCUAGAAAUGCCCACCUCCUAUUAAAUUACCCGCUGCAAUUAUUCACAUAUUCUAAAACCACAUCAUCACACUUGUGUGCAGUUGCAAACUUCCGGUUCCUUCGUGUACUUUCUGGAAACCCCAUAUUCCUUGUACAAUCCUAUGAAGCAUAUACUACCUUGUACAGAUAGGACGUGCAAUGACAUUGAAUUGACUGCAUAACUAUUGACUCAACUUUUGUGAAGUGCAAGGCGUUGCUAAAUGGUCAUAUGGCCAAGCCAUAAACAUACAAGGGACAACAGUUCAUUCUAUGUCUCCGAGAACCGAGUUAUCUCACCCCUGCCCAGAGAGAACUUGCUUUCGUUGUGUCACUCUUGGCUCUCAAUUAAGCCCAUCCCUUUCUACAGAGUGAGUGCAGGGUAUCCUCCAUGGAAGAGAGGGGCACCUUUUAUUCAGAGCACCUCCUACAUUUACUUCCAGCCUCCCCAUACUCUCUUGGUAUGUGCUUCGUUCUAGAUGGUGGGCAGUGAAGUCUUUAAUUACUGGCAUGCAGCCUUCAAGCUCUCUCCUGUCAUGCAGUUGAGGGGUCCGUGUGCUAGAGAUGGCGUAGUUCCCAGAUGGUGAAGCCACUGGUGUCCUGUGUCCCUGAGUAUUUGUGGAGCAGUGAUCCCACCCACACUUUUUGGACAUGUAAUGUUAAUGAGAAAUUCAUCUUUGUUUUCCUCUUUAGUUUUGGUUUAUUUGUUUUGUUUCCACGGAAUGACCUAAUGUUAUCUUGAUCAAUGGACAGACUCACAGUUCAUGGUAGUGUGUCCAACCACACUGCAGCUACUAGCUGUGACUUGAAAGUAAAAGAAAACAGAGAUUAGCAUUUGUCCUGAGUGGUGGUAAAACCAAUAAUAAAGGAAAGAAGAGGCAAAAUUCAUAUAUUUUUGUUAUGCUUCUGUUAUUUCAUCUUUAAAUUGGAGAAAAAGCUGUUUAAAAUACUAGUUUUGCAAUAUAUACUUGGGAAGCUAGAUGUGGUAUAAAGCCAGGUUUCUCAAACCUGGCUUUAUUGAUAUUUGGGAUGGGUAAUUCUUUGUCAUAGAGGCUGUUGUUAUACACCGUCAGUGUUUAACAGCAUCCCUGGUCUCUACCCACCAGAUGACGAUAGCAUCACUCACUACCCCCUCUGAGUUGACAAUCACAGAUGUCUUCAGACAUUGCCAGUGGCCCCUGCUAUGCAAUGUCAUCCUCUGGUUGAGAACCACUGGCACAGAAGAAAGAAACUCUGGCUUAGAAUGGGAGGGCUUCUUAAGUUUAUUUCUGCCACUCACUAGCUCCCUGAUCCUGGGUAACCGAGGCCAUGGAGGCUCCAGUCCUCAUCUAUAAAACUGAAAUAAUAACCACUAUUCAGAGCAUUCAGAAAUUCAUGUACACAACACGUUCACUUUUUAAGCUGUAAGGCACUGUGCAUAUGGAAGUUAAACUCCUCAGGUUGCCAUUUAUUUUCUAUGUUGUGCACAAAAAAUGCUUUUAACAUAAGAAUGUGUACUUCGUGAUUUUCUUAUCCUCAUGAUUGAGGGAUGCUUCAUAGAUCAUCUUGGGCUGUCAGGUUCGUGUGGGAUACCUUCCUGCUUGACUUUCAACCCCUCCCUUUUGAUGCCUGUGCCUGUCUUCAUAUUUCUCCCACCUGCUGGAUCUUGUCUUUGGUACCCAGAAUACCUUGAAGGUUUUCUACCCUUCACUCAUCUGAACCUUUCUUGCUCAAUCUAAAGGAACAUGUUUCCCAUCCUGCAAAAGCAUCAAACCUCAUUCCCUUCAGGUUUGGCUCCCGGCCACUGAAAGUGCUAGAUAGUAAUGUGAUGAACAGGUUGAAAGCUAAGACGGCGAGGUUGAUUGGCUUCUACAUCUCUCGAGCAUCAUCUCUCCACAGUUCCAUUCCAUUUACCCUUACCAACGUUACAAUUGCUUUGUGUCCUUGUCAGUACUUGGCGUUACCAUUCUCUUCAGUUUCGGCAAUUCUGGUAGGUCUGUGUUGGUAUUUCAUUUUGGUUUUAAGAAGGCAUUCUCAGAGGUGUGUUCCUUGACCUAAAGAAAAGAGUAAUCCCUCAUUACAGGAUAUGUUGAGAGACUAUAGCAUUGUGGACUUUCAGGAGACAGGAGGACACAUUUUUUGUGAACUUGCUACGUGUUAAACACAACAUGAGACAUUCCACCCAAAUGAUUACAUUUACUGCUUCCAACUGUUCUAUACAUGAAGCUUCACUUUUCCCCCUUUAUGGAUUAAAAAAACAGACUUUGGAAAUAUUUAAUAAUUUACCCCAAAUCUCAUAUUUAUGAAGGUUUGGCUCACGGCAUAUCAUGCAGAUGACUGCAGGUUCCUUGUCACAUUGGCACUGAUAUGGGGAAUUGCCUGUUUUUAUCGCAGAGAGAGAAUAAAAUCCUGCAUGUGGAGAGAGGAGAAGUUCAGGGCAUUUCGAAGCCAUGUUGGGCUUUGUGUGGGAAAGGCAGGAAUUGGACCUGGCUGUCAAUGUGCUCGGGGCACUUCUGGGCACACCUGUCCACGUUCCUUUGCAAAAACGCACACUCUGAUCGGGUAGGCAGUCAUGCUUUCUGGCUUGCUCUUUAAAUGCUUUAAUAUCCCUUACCUCCUGGUCCCCAAAGCCCCGAGAAGAGAUAUGGCAGAUCCUAUCUUCAUGUUUGGAUUGAGCAGCUGGUACUGGGAAUAUUUUAGUGAUCGUUCAAGGUCACAGAGUAGACAGAGACAGAGCAAGAAUCAAGUUCAGGACUCUGUGUAAAAAAGGUCAUGAUGUGAUCCCACAUGACCUGUUUUCUCAAGGGUCCUCUGUGGCAUGCUUAGGUCCGAUCAUCUCAUAGUUGUCCUAUUUUGUUGAUCUGACGUUGGAUUCAGGAGGGACACAGUGAGUGCAGCAGCACCCAUGGUAACAGUUCCUACAGCCAACAUCCUCUGACUGCUUCCUCUGUGAGGGACUUUGGCCACACACAUGCUCAUGGUAGCCCCUCGGGUCUGUCUCCAGAUGAGAAGACAGAGCCACGCAGAGGGUCAGGCAUCUUGCCUAAGGACUGAGCUGGAAACUCAGGCAUGUGAGGCACAUGAAACACCACGUGCGUUACGCAGCCUUCUGUGAGUAUGAAAUGUGGUUUUACAGAUGGGUCUUCAGGGAUCACGAGCGUGGGGCUGGGUGGUGUGAUUUCAGGCCCUGGGCUGAUGGAGACUCCGUGAUGAAGCCUUGCCUGCCAGCUUUCACGCGCUUUCCUUUUAACUUCUAACUGAACCAGAUAAAGCAGCCACAUCCUCUACUUCCUCUCCUCUCUGCUCUUCCCACUUCCUUCUCCUCUUCUUAGUUUUUGGAUGGAAACAGCAUUAUGGUUCAUGCACCUUUCUGUAGUGCAGAUAAAUCAGCUGGCCCUACCCAGAAAGCACUGCUCCACUGUGAGCCCGACUGUUCCUUUUGUUACAAAUGAAACAUUUUGAACAUACUCUGGGUUAUUGAUGCCCAUGUACCCAGUGCUGAGAUUUUUAACACAUGUGAAUAUUCUGCAGUAUUUGCCCUACAACUUUUAAAUUAAGAAAUGAGAUGUUUCAGGUUAGGUUGAGAGUAUACCAUCCACCCCAGAUCAACUUCAUAAAACAAAACUUCUGAUUUCCCACCAAAUAUGUUCAUGCCUUAGACCCCUCCCUGUCAGUAAAAGUGUUCACAUUCCCCCACUUGCUUAGCAUGAAGGAUCUUUCCCUGACUCCCGUCUUUCCUUCAUGCCACACCCCUGCAGUGCAUCAAUUGAUCCAAGAUUUCUCCCAAAUCCACAAUCUCACUGUAUCAUCAUCUCCCUCCCAGGCUUUGGUGAUCAUCUUCCAGAUGGCCCCCCUGUUGCCCCCCAUCUUCUAAGUCAGUAUGUCACACCACAACCCAGUGAUUCCUAAAGAGCAAAUUAUAUCCAGUCACUGCCAGCUGUGGACUGAACAUUUGUGUCCCUAAAUUUCCUGUUAAAACCUAAUCCCCAGAGCGAGGUAGUAGGAGGAGGGGCCUUUGGGAAAGGCCUGGGCAGAGCCCAGGCGUGAGGCCAGGCUCGAGGCCAGGCUUCGAGCCCAAGCUCGAAGGCACGAGAGCAGAGCCUUCACGAAUGGGAUUAGGGCCCUAAUGAGAGAACCCAUGGAGCUCCCUAGCUCCUCCCCCCAGGUGAGGACACAUCGAGAAGAUGGCCAUCUGGAAAGUGGGUUCUCACCAGACACUGAAUCUGCUGGCACCUUGAUCUUGGACUUCCGGCCUCCAGAACUGUGAGAAAUAAAUGUCUGUUGUUUAUAAGACGCCGAGUCUGUGGUAUUCUAUUAUAGUAGCCUGAACGGACUGAGACACUCCUCAUAUCGUAUUCAGAAAUGAUCCACAUUUGUCAUGGUGGCUACCAGGGGCCAACACCAUCUGGGCUAUUGGUCUGUCUGGCCUCUUGCCUCCCUCCAGCUCUGGCCUGUCUGCUGCUCCUUGAGCACGUCAAGCUCAUUCCUCCUCUGGGCUCUUCUUUCUGGAGAGCUUGUUCCCCAGAUCUUCACUGGCUCCUUCCCUUCCUUCCCUCAGAUCCCCACUCAAGGGCAUGUCCUCUGGGAGAUAUUCCCACACAGAUUCCCUGCAUCAGUACACUGCAUUCUCUCCUUCUGCUCCAUUUUUCCCAUUGUGUUUAUAAACAACUGAGAUCAUUACAUAUUCAUUGGUUUGUCUCUCUCACAUCCCUGGACUCGGAAUAUAAACUUCGUAAAUUUGUCUUGUUCUUCACAGCAUCCCUCAUACCUAUGUGUCUGGCACAUAGUAAAUCCUUAAUACGCACUUAUUGAAUGGGUGACCAGAUCUCAUUAGCUUGCUUUCCUCCAAAAGUGGCUACUAUUUUUAAGUUGAUUGGUUUUAAGCCUACUUCCACAUUGCUAUAUUUAUCACAUAUUUAUAUACCCAUGUAGAUUUCGUGUAAACCUGAGUGCAAAAUUUUCACACAAAUGACAUCAUAUUGUACAUAUUGCUUUGCAACUUGACUUUUCUUUUCUGAUCCCAGAAUGUCUUUAGGAUUAAUCCAUGUUGACCCUUAUAGGUUUAGUACCUAACUGUUGUGUAGUGUUCCACUGAAUGAAUAAAUGGUUUAUUUAUCCAUCCCCCUA